rnacentral:misc_RNA from 1 species
GAUAUGUGGUCGUCCCUCUCACGCCACGAUUCCCGUCAUCCUCUCCCCCACCUCACCUUCGAAACGGAACUCAGCCCCGUCUUUACAGGCGAGCCCGUCCUGCAAGAUGUCCGCCGUGGUGCCGAAGUUUAUCGAUGAGCCCAGCAGCGUCGUGGCGGUUGCUGUGGACGGUCUCUGUGAGCUGAACAACCGUGUGAAGAAGAUAGAGAACACCAACGUUGUCGUCUCCUGUUGCCUAGAUCCGACCAAGGUCCUGCUGCUCUGUGGCGGCGGCUCCGGCCACGAACCGGCUCACUCUGGGUUCGUCGCUAAGGGCUGGCUGAGCGCGGCGGUAUGCGGCAGCGUCUUCGCCUCCCCGCCCACGGCGCACGUGAGCGCCGGCAUAGAGUACCUGGCCAAGCUCCAGGGACCUGAUGGUCCAGGUAUCCUCGUCAUCAUCAAAAACUACGCUGGCGACAUUCUCAACUUCGAGUACGCCGUCCGCCAAGCCCGUGCAGAGGGGAUUCAAGUCGAAACGGUGCUGGCAGCCGAUGAUGCGGUGUUCGGCACUAAAGAUGUACAGAAGCGUCGCGGUGUGGCGGGAUGCUGCCUCCUCUACAAAAUUCUCGGCGCUGCUGCGGAGCGUGGUUUGUCGCUGACGCAGCUGAAGGCGCUCGCUGACCGCGCCUCACGCAACAUGCGAUCCAUCGGUGCCUCGCUCUCGUCCUGCUCGCUGCCGGGCAACCCGGCCUCGUCUGUGAUGCCCUCCGGAACGGUUGAGGUGGGGCUGGGUAUUCAUGGAGAGAAGGGACUCUUCCAGAUCCCCUUCCAAGGCGCGGCGUCCCUCGUCCACUUCCUCAUCGGGAUUCUGAUGGGCAAGGGAGAAGUAGGUGCUCCCGGCAAGACCACCGCCAUCCACGCCGGUGUCAAGGCGCUCUUGCUGGUGAACAACCUGGGUGGGACAACGGACCUGGAGAUGUCUACUCUUGCGCACCACGCCUUGCGCGAACUUGCCGCCGCGCAGCUCACUGUUGUUGGAGUGCACAGCGGACGCCACAUGACAUCGUUAGACAUGCACGGCUUCUCGCUGACGCUGCUCGUAGUCGAGGACGAGAGGGACCUGGAGUUUAUGCUCAACACGAACGCGUUGCAGAAGCCGCUCAUGAACUUCCACGCGCCGCAGUUAAGCGGUGCGACGGUUCCGGGGCCGCUCACUGCGCUGCAGCUGGCACGGCAAGAGGCGGAGGCAGCAGGGCGCGCGGCAGCCACGCCGACCGGCAGCCCCCUCUGCGCCGCCGUGCAGCGCGUCUUCGAGAAGCUCAUGACGAUGGAGACCUACUUCAACGGCCUGGACGCGGAGGUAGGCGACGGCGACCUCGGCAGCGGCGUGCAUCGCUCGGCAAUGGCGGUGCUGGAAAUGCUGCCUUACCUGCCGUGGGAGGCCGACGUGCGGCGGACCUUCACGCUCAUCUCCAAAGCCGUCGCCGACGCCUUCGCCGGCACCUCUGGCCCGCUCUACGGUGCGCUGCUCAUCGGCGGCGGGAACGCCGCGGCGCAGGCGCUGAAGAGCGGCGGCGCAGUUGAGGCGGUGCGCGCGGCACUUGCGCACGGAAGCCACGAUGUGCAGGAGCUCAGCGGCGCGCGCCAGGGCGAUCGCACGAUGGUGGACGUGCUGGAGGGCAUGCGCGUGUGCCCGGCCGUCGCAGCGGCGGCGACGAUGCCGGAGCUGCUCAAGGCGUGCCACGAAGCGGCGCGGGCGGCCGCCGACGCGACGGCGCUGCUUCCCGCCCAGCUCGGCCGCAGUCGCUACAUGGAAGGAAAGGAGGUCGGCAAGAAGGACCCGGGCGCGGAGCUCGUGGUGGCCUGGGUCGAGGCGCUUGCCUGGGAGAGCAGCUGAUCGGGAAGCCUGUCAAUGUAUAUGUACGAUUCGCAUGCUGUAAGUGUUAUGUGACUGUUAGUCUGCCGUCAUGUAGAGGUAGAGAUGGCUUUGGGGAUGUUUGCUCUCCUUCACAUACCCUCGCUUCUGAUCGGUUACGCGGAGGAGUGUAUGGCACUUCUACUUGGGUAUAUCGCCGGCACCACCGCGUCUCGCUCCUCCCCUCGCCUCUUGCAUUCUCGUCUUCUGAUUUCUUGUUUUGUGGCGUGGCGGCUGCCUCCACACCGUCUAUGCUGCCUUGUCGGCCUCACAGUGGGGGUGGCGGUGGGGCGGCGAGGAGACGAGCCAAAUACGCGUCCACCGCCGGCCCCCUCCCCUUCUAUCUCGCGUGCAUCAGCUUCGUUAUUGCGUGUCUACUCAAUCUUCCUGCGCCAUGCGGCCCUUUCCUGCUCCGUAGCACACAGUCGCGUUGCUCUUGUCCUGUCUCUUGGCGUUUUUGUUUUCGCCGUUGUUCAUAUUGUGUGUCUGUGUACCUGUUUACAUGUCGGUGGUUGAUGGUUACGCUUUCAGGGCGGCCGGAUCAUCUCCCCGCUUCACGCACACUCCUGUCCUUUCUUCGUUCGAAUACCUGCGAAACACCUUCCCCCUAAACCCUCCCCCCGUCCCCUCCCGCAGCCAAUCACCACCCGCGUGCUGGCGUGUGCAACCCCCAGCACGCGGUACAAUAUAAACAGAGUAUAGAGAGAGAACGAAAACGCGCGCUCUCUCUUUGGGACUCUGUGUGCGUGUGUGCGUGUGUGCGUGUGCGUGUGCGUGUGUGCGUGUGCGUGUGUGCGUGCGUGUCCGCUUCCUAAAAGACGUGUUCCUCUUCUCGCGCGCACCCCCCCCCACAUCCCUGCUCAGAGAGGAAGGUAGGCGGCCGCCGCAGCCUGCGCAACGCCAUCGCUUCGUCUCCCUCUCCCUCUUGCUCCUUGUGUUUUGUUUAGGGAGUUUUGUGUGGAGGGGUGCGUCUUUCAUGUACUCGAGACUGUCCUCGUUCCUCAUCGCUUGCGGGGGGAGGGUAGUGGUGGGGAUGAGGUCGUCUUGGGGCCUGCGCAUGCCAGAGACAGAGAGGGCGGGGUGCAGAAGACGAUGAAGGGACGGCGCUUCCGCGGCACAAAAGCGAAGUGUGUGCGGACCUGCGCGGGAGCACAGGGAGAGAUGGAGGGACGGAGAAAGACGGCCCCAUCCACCCUUCCUCCUCUUGAGGGGUUUGGCGGGUUGCCGGCACAGCGCACCCAAAGAAGAAGGGUAUGGCGCUUCCCGUGCGCCAGUAGAUGUGUUCAUUGGUUGUGGGUGCCUCCCACGUCCCCAGCCCGCUCCUCUGCAGUCGGACGUGGCGCGCGUCACCCCACCCCCUGCUGUUAUCAUUGGGUUCGUCGGAAG